rnacentral:rRNA from 1 species
AACGAACGCUGGCGGCAGGCCUAAUACAUGCAAGUCGAACGGAUGUAGCAAUACAUUAGUGGCGCACGGGUGCCUAACGUGUGGGAACAUACCCUUGAGUAAGGAAUAAUGUCUGGAAACGGACACUAAUACCUUAUAAUGACUUCGGUCCAAAGAUUUAUCGCUCAAGGAUUGGCCCGCGUCUGAUUAGCUAGUUGGUGAGGUAACGGCUCACCAAGGCGACGAUCAGUAGCUGGUCUGAGAGGAUGAUCAGCCACACUGGGACUGAGACACGGCCCAGACUCCUACGGGAGGCAGCAGUAAGGAAUAUUGGACAAUGGGGGAAACCCUGAUCCAGCCAUGCUGCGUGAGUGAAGAAGGCCUUAGGGUUGUAAAGCUCUUUCAAUAGUGAAGAUAAUGACGGUAGCUAUAGAAGAAGCCCCGGCUAAAUUCGUGCCAGCAGCCGCAGUAA